rnacentral:rRNA from 1 species
GACGAACCGUGCGAACGUUGUUCGGAAUCACUGGGCUUAAAGGGCGCGUAGGCGGGCUGUCAAGUCUGGGGUGAAAUCCCACGGCUCAACCGUGGAACUGCCUUAGAUACUGACGGCCUCGAGGAAGGUAGGGGCAUGCGGAACUGUAGGUGGAGCGGUGAAACGCGUUGAUAUCUACAGGAACUCCGGUGGCGAAAGCGGCGUGCUGGACCUUUUCUGACGCUGAGGCGCGAAAGCUAGGGGAGCAAACGGG